UACGUAGGGUGCAAGCGUUAAUCGGAAUUACUGGGCGUAAAGCGUGCGCAGGCGGUUGUGCAAGACCGAUGUGAAAUCCCCGGGCUUAACCUGGGAAUGGCAUUGGUGACUGCACGGCUAGAGUGUGUCAGAGGGGGGUAGAAUUCCACGUGUAGCAGUGAAAUGCGUAGAUAUGUGGAGGAAUACCGAUGGCGAAGGCAGCCCCCCUGGGAUAACACUGACGCUCAUGCACGAAAAGCGUGGGGAGCAAACAGG
rnacentral:rRNA from 1 species